rnacentral:rRNA from 1 species
AGCCUGAACGCUGGCGGCGUGGCUAAGACAUGCAAGUCGCACGGAUGUAGCAAUACAUUAGUGGCGAACGGGUGAGUAAUGAAUCGCUAACGUACCCUGGACUUUGGGAUAGCUGACCGAAAGGUCAGGUAAUACCAGAUGACAUAACUUUGUCGCAUGACAGAGUUCUCAAAGGUCCGCCGGUCCUGGAGCGGGCGAUUUCGUAUCAGCUAGUUGGUGAGGUAACGGCUCACCAAGGCGACGACGCGUAGCCGGACUGAGAGGUUGGCCGGCCACAUUGGGACUGAGACACUGCCCAGACUCCUACGGGGGGCUGCAGUAACGAAUCUUCCGCAAUGCACGAAAGUGUGACGGAGCGACGCCGCGUGUGGGACGAAGCCCUUCGGGGUGUAAACCACUGUCAGGGGAAAGAAAGUUCUGAUCUACCCCAGAGGAAGAGGCGGCUAACUCUGCGCCAGCAGCCGCGGUAA